UCUUCCUCUUACUACAAAUUUCAACAUUUUUAUACAGUAUCAAAAUGUAUCUAUCUUUCUCUCCCAAUGAACCCUAGACCCAAAAUUCAAUUUCAAGCUUCUUCUCCUAUGUAUAUCCUCUCCAUCCUUUGUAUAUACUCUCUCCCCCCUUUUUGUCAUAAAUGACGAAGGAUGUAAUUUCAAACUCAAUUUUUGCAACAAUAUAUAACAAUUUAAAAAUGAAGUUGAAAGUAUGCACAAGUAUAAUCAAUGAUUAGUAAGCUUUCCCACAUACUCAUUUUAAGUUAAAAUGGAGUAACUGUAUAAGUGACUCAUGAGUAUAAAGUAUCACUAAUCCUUUGUAGACAGGACUCCAAACCUUAAUUUUGUGAAAAAUGACAUGUAAAAUAUCACUGCUAAUAAGUUUAUUCUCCUACUUAUGAAAGUCAAAUCAUUAAGAACAUUAAGACCUUUAAAUGAAGCUCAUUUUGCAUAUAUUUUGAUCUUUUCUUUUCUUCCCUUAACUUUGAGUAUAUUUUUCAAUAUUUUUAAAGCUCAUCAAUUUUUAUAUCUAAGUGCAGUUCAUUUUCCAUUAAGUGACUAAAAUGAUCCCUGUAGCAAGCUUUAGGUCAGUUAACCUAAAUCAAUAGACCAUAGGCACCGGGUUUUGAGAUACCACGCGGCUUAAUUGAUCAAGUCAAAUAGGCUCCUAAGAAGAACAUAAGAUAUUGAGCUUUUUAUUAUGAGGGGUAUACUUGAGUUUAGGUCUAACAAAUUUGGUCAAUUCAUGUUUAGAGUCACCUUACUAACAAUUAACGACCAUCCCAAAUCUCAGACACGUAGUUAAG
rnacentral:lncRNA from 1 species